CUUGUCAAACACCAAAACCCUAGGGCCCCGACCUCCGACUCAGACCAGAGCCGCCGUACGCGCUUCACGCGCCACUGCUGGCGUAUGAGCCACCGCAGCUCCACCGCUCAUGGAUGCCGAAUUUCCAGAUAGUUUCGAUUAGGUAAUUAUCUUACCCUCUCUUGGUUAAAACCCUGAUUUUCGAUGUGGAUUGAGAAGCCCUAAUCAACUGCUGUUUGAUUUGAGAAUUGAGGUUGAAGGAGUUCUGCAUUUUUGGAGGACUUCGGGUAUGUGGAGUUCGGGAAUUUGGAGUUUUGGAGGAGGAGGAGGAGCUGCUGGGUUAAUUUCAGUUGAAACUGGAGAAGGUGUUUACACGACUAUGGGUGGUGGAUUGCAGCAUUUGGAAUUAGCUUUCAGUUUGGAAAAGAAGAAUUGGUAAGGGUCCGGGUUUUGAAUCUGCUGUUUGGUGAAACUAUUAUGGUUGUAAUCUGUUGUUUGAUCGAUGAAUGAGUAUGGUUAAUGUGUGAAAUUUUUAGUAGCAACUAUGUGACUCGGUUAAGUCUUA